GCUUAGCCCUAAACUCAGAUAUUUCACAUACAAAAAUAUCCGCCAGAGAACUACGAGCAAUACGCUUAAAACUCUAAGGACUUGGCGGUAUCUCAAACCCUCCUAGAGGAGCCUGUUCUACAAUCGAUAAUCCACGAUUCACCCCACCAUCUCUUGCCAUUACCGCCUAUAUACCGCCGUCACCAGCUUACCCUAUGAAGGACACAAAGCAAGCAAAAUAGUUAAAAUAACUAAUAAGUCAGGUCAAGGUGUAGCUUAUUGAGAUGGAAGAAAUGGGCUACAUUUUCUAUUCUAGAAAUUAAUUUACGGAAAGGACUAUGAAAUCAAGCCCUAUAAGUAGGAUUUAGCAGUAAGCCGGAGUCAGAAUAUCCGACUUAAGCUGGUCCUGAGAUAC
rnacentral:rRNA from 1 species